GACGAACCACACGAACGUUAUUCGGAAUCAUUGGGCUUAAAGGGCGCGUAGGCGGCGGUGUAAGUUGGAAGUGAAAUCCCAUCGGCUCAACCGUGGAAUUGCUCCCAGUACUGCAUCGCUCGAGGGGGAUAGGGGUCUGCGGAACUACCGGUGGAGCGGUGAAAUGUGUUGAUAUCGGUGGGAACGCCAGUGGCGAAAGCGGCAGACUGGACCCUUCCUGACGCUGAGGCGCGAAAGCUAGGGGAGCAAACGGG
rnacentral:rRNA from 1 species